AGAGUUUGAUCCUGGCUCAGGAUUAACGCUAGCGGCAGGCCUAAUACAUGCAAGUCGAACGGCAGCACGGGUAGCAAUACCUGGUGGCGAGUGGCGCACGGGUGCGUAACACGUAUGCAAUCUACCUUUAACUGGGGAAUAACCCCUCGAAAGAGGGGCUAAUACCGCAUAAAACUUUGAUGGGACAUCCCAAUGAAGUCAAACCUACGGGGGUUAAAGAUGAGCAUGCGUCCGAUUAGCUAGUUGGCGGGGUAACGGCCCACCAAGGCAACGAUCGGUAGGGGAUCUGAGAGGAUGAUCCCCCACACUGGUACUGAGACACGGACCAGACUCCUACGGGAGGCAGCAGUAAGGAAUAUUGGACAAUGGGCGCAAGCCUGAUCCAGCCAUGCCGCGUGCAGGAUGAAAGUGCUAUGCACUGUAAACUGCUUUUGUUUGGGAAAAAACCCCUGGUUUCUACCGGGGCUGAUUGUACCAAAAGAAUAAGGGGACGGCUAACUUCGUGCCAGCAGCCGCGGUAAUACGAAGGUCCCAAGCGUUAUCCGGAUUUAUUGGGUUUAAAGGGUGCGUAGGCGGGCUAUUAAGUCAGUGGUGAAAGCCCCAAGCUUAACUUGGGGAACUGCCAUUGAUACUGAUGGUCUUGAGUACAUUUGANGUGGGCGGAAUGUGUCAUGUANCGGUGAAAUGCUUAGAUAUGACACAGAA
rnacentral:rRNA from 1 species